rnacentral:rRNA from 1 species
GAUGAACGCUGGCGGCGUGCUUAAUACAUGCAAGUCGAACGAGGAACUUUUGUCUUCGGAUGGGAGUUUCCUAGUGGCGAACGGGUGAGUAACGCGUUGGUGACCUGCCCCGAAGCGGGGGAUAACAGUUCGAAAGGACUGCUAAUACCCCAUGUGGUUGCCGAGGUUAGAGGCUUGGUAACUGAAGGAGAAAUCCGCUUCGGGAGGAGCCUGCGUCCCAUCAGCUAGUUGGUAGAGUAAAAGCCUACCAAGGCGAAGACGGGUAGGGGGCCUGAGAGGGUGACCCCCCACACUGGCACUGAAACACGGCCGAGACACCUACGGGAGGCAG